rnacentral:rRNA from 1 species
UACGGGGGGGGUAAGCGUUGUUCGGAAUUACUGGGCGUAAAGGGCUCGUAGGCGGCCAACUAAGUCAUACGUGAAAUCCCUCGGCUUAACCGGGGAACUGCGUCUGAUACUGGAUGGCUUGAGUGUGGGAGAGGGAUGCGGAAUUCCAGGUGUAGCGGUGAAAUGCGUAGAUAUCUGGAGGAACACCGGUGGCGAAGGCGGCAUCCUGGACCGGCAUUGACGCUGAGGAGCGAAAGCCAGGGGAGCAAACGGG